AAUCCAUGUUGAGGGCACUUCCGCAACAGGUUCUUGAACCAUUUCAAUGUCUCAAAUAAGGAUUCUAGCUCCGUUUAAACAUAUGAUGAGAUUUCAUUGCGGAGUUU